GUGGGGAAUAUUGGACAAUGGGCGAAAGCCUGAUCCAGCCAUGCCGCGUGUGUGAAGAAGGUCUUCGGAUUGUAAAGCACUUUAAGUUGGGAGGAAGGGCAGUAAGUUAAUACCUUGCUGUUUUGACGUUACCGACAGAAUAAGCACCGGCUAACUUCGUGCCAGCAGCCGCGGUAAUACGAAGGGUGCAAGCGUUAAUCGGAAUUACUGGGCGUAAAGCGCGCGUAGGUGGUUUUGUAAGUUGGAGGUGAAAUCCCCGGGCUCAACCUGGGAACUGCCUCCAAAACUGCAUGACUAGAGUACGGUAGAGGGUAGUGGAAUUUCCUGUGUAGCGGUGAAAUGCGUAGAUAUAGGAAGGAACACCAGUGGCGAAGGCGACCACCUGGACUGAUACUGACACUGAGGUGCGAAAGCGUGGGGAGCAAACAGGAUUAGAUACCCCUGUAGUCC
rnacentral:rRNA from 1 species